AGUCAUGGGGAAUCUUCCGCAAUGGGGAAUUUUCCGCAAUGGGCGAAAGCCUGACGGAGCAACGCCGCGUGAGGGAUGAAGGCCUCUGGGCUGUAAACCUCUUUUAUCAAGGAAGAAGGUCUGACGGUACUUGAUGAAUAAGCCACGGCUAAUUCCGUGCCAGCAGCCGCGGUAAUACGGGAGUGGCAAGCGUUAUCCGGAAUUAUUGGGCGUAAAGCGUCCGCAGGCGGCCCUUCAAGUCUGCUGUUAAAAAGUGGAGCUUAACUCCAUCAUGGCAGUGGAAACUGUCAGGCUUGAGUGUGGUAGGGGCAGAGGGAAUUCCCGGUGUAGCGGUGAAAUGCGUAG
rnacentral:rRNA from 1 species